AAGACUAUAGACCUGCGGAGUACCUGCGGAAGGAUCAUUAUCGUAUUGUAACAAUUGGGGGGGCCACCGUGGGCUGUCGCUGACCCUUUGAAAGGGGUGUCGUGCACGCCCCCAUAGUGUCAUCCUCAUACAAUCCAACUCACCUCUGUGCAUCACCGCGUGGGUUCCUUUCUGGGUCGAGUCAGACUGGCUCAGAAAAAAGGGGCUUGCGUUUUCCAUACAAAUACCCUUAUAAAUCCA
rnacentral:misc_RNA from 1 species